rnacentral:rRNA from 1 species
AGACGUCUACAUUAGAUACCCGGGUAGUCCCAGCCGUAAACUAUGCGCGUUAGGUGUAUCGGUGACCACGAGUCACCGAGGUGCCGAAGGGAAACCGUGAAACGUGCCGCCUGGGAAGUACGGUCGCAAGGCUGAAACUUAAAGGAAUUGGCGGGGGAGCACCACAACAGGUGGAGCCUGCGGUUUAAUUGGACUCAACGCCGGGAAGCUCACCGGAUAGGACAGCAGAAUGAUUGCCGGGCUGAAGACCCUGCAUGACUAGCUG